CUGGGUGUGCGGCAAUGGACGGCAGGGAUGACCCCCUGUGGUGAAUCCUUUGUGGGUACCUUGGGCCAUAACCCACCAUGUAGGACAUCUUCAAGGGAUUGUCUCCUAGUAGCUCGGAGCCUCUUAGGGGUGAUGGCGGUUCCACCACAAUUGACCACCUGGCGGGCAGUGUUUAAGUAUUUGGCGUAGCUCAAGAGCAGAAAUGAGGUGGAGGUCACAUAUUGCAUGUUGCUAUCAUUCAUUUUGAAAAGAAGACCACCUGCAACAAAAACCAAGACCAAUACUAGCCGUUACAAACAGGACCACUCUCUAGUCUUUUAAGAGAGAGAGAGAGAGAGAGAGAGAAAACAAUACCUGGGGUGUAUUGGGCUGAAGAGUAAGAGGCUCCUGGUAUGAUUGAACAGAUAAAACUAUCUGCAUGACCUUUGUAGUCAUGGAGGGAUCUGACCUUCUGGAUGAGGAAUGCCUGUAAAAUCAAAGGGCGCAUUAUAGAUCAAAAGACUGAGGAACAUAAAAGAUAAAGCCAGCUGCAAAAACAAGUUUUUUAUUAUAGAAA